GACGAACGCUGGCGGCGUGCCUAAUACAUGCAAGUCGAGCGGACUUUCAAGAAGCUUGCUUUUUGAAAGUUAGCGGCGGACGGGUGAGUAACACGUGGGCAACCUGCCUGCAAGACGGGGAUAACUCCGGGAAACCGGGGCUAAUACCGGAUAAUAUCUUCCUUCGCAUGAAGGAAGGUUGAAAGGCGGCGCAAGCUGCCGCUUGCAGAUGGGCCUGCGGCGCAUUAGCUAGUUGGUGAGGUAACGGCUCACCAAGGCGACGAUGCGUAGCCGACCUGAGAGGGUGAUCGGCCACACUGGGACUGAGACACGGCCCAGACUCCUACGGGAGGCAGCAGUAGGGAAUCUUCCGCAAUGGACGAAAGUCUGACGGAGCAACGCCGCGUGAGCGAAGAAGGUCUUCGGAUCGUAAAGCUCUGUUGUCAGGGAAGAACAAGUACCGUUCGAACAGGGCGGUACCUUGACGGUACCUGACCAGAAAGCCACGGCUAACUACGUG
rnacentral:rRNA from 1 species